AUGCCCAAGGCCGUCUGUCUAGGGAGCGAAUGCAUGGGCAACAAGCGGAAGAAACUUUGCGUCUGCCUGGUAGGUGCCUCCAUCUUCAUAUUAGCUGCCAUAUUAAUCGCUCUCACCUGCUGUGUGGUCGAGUGUCAGGGGCAGCUGAAGACCUCAGAUCUGGAUGAGAAACUCGCCAACCUGGAGGAGGAGAAGAGGGCCCUGGAAAAGCAGCGGGACAGGGCGAGGGCAGAGGUCACGGCGCUGCGGUCGGAGCUGGCUGGCACCAAUCAGACCCUCUGGGAGACGCGCGGGCGCUGGGACUCCUGCAGGAGCCUGACGCAUAACCUGCAGAACAACAUCACUGCCCUGAGCAACAGAAUCACACAGCUGGAGGCCAGAGACUCUGAGUGGGAGGCCAAGGAACGAGGGUUACAAGAUGAAAAUGGCAGGCUCAGAGACCAGCUCUCCAGCCAGUCCCAGCAACUGCAGGAUUCCCAGGAAGAAUUCCAGAAGCAAAGAGAUCAGCUCAAAGCGAACAUCCAUUGGCUGAACAUGGAGCUCCAAAGCCAGAGGAAUCAGCGCUCCAGCGGGGACAGCCUCGGGGGUCACCGUGUGUCUCUCUGCCUGGCUCCGCUGGCACUGUCCCUCCUUGGCACCCUUCUCCUUUAAGAGGAGCCGCUUUGUUCAGGUAUCGAGGAGCCUGGAUACAGACUUGUCCAGAGACCCCUUCUGCUGUCUGACCCCCAGGCUCUUGGGCAGAGGGGUCUCGUCCUGUCACCGCCACCAAAGACAGCUCCAGCCUUCACCCAGCCACCGCUCUGUGCCUGCUCAUCUCUGACCACGCCACAUGCUCUCCCCCCCGCAGGCGAGAGAGCCAUCUCCUGUGCAGGUCCUGCUGCCUAGCCUGGCUUCACUGAACCGCCCAUCUCAUUCCAAGUCUCCUCCCAGCGCAUGGCAGCACUGCUAGGGCCCACCUGUGCCAGGCCAGAGACACAGCUCGCAGACCAAAGAGCAGCACAGGAAAAAAAGAAAGAUCAUUAUUGAUGGGAAACUGAGGCACAAGGCGAUUAGUGAGUCGCCCCAGGAGCACAUGGCAGAGUCAAGCCUUGAACUCAGCUCUCCUGAGCACCAGCAUGUAACCCUAAGGCCAUGCUUCCUCUCCAGUCCUCCCUCGCCUACAUCUCCUUUCUCUCUCCCGCUGCUGUUCUUUAGCUCAGCGCAGUGGGUCAGGGGUUGGGGACACAGGACUGUGUCUCUCUCUCUCUCCGUUUAUUUCCAUCAUCCGUCCCCAAUGCCCUUUCGAUCCCGCGGGAUUUGUGUUUCAGGGCUGAGCAGGCAGUGGAAAGUGGAGAAUCCCCACGGGAACACGGUGCACAGCGCAGCCGGCUCGCUCCCCUCCAAGUCGCCCUCAGGAGAACUGGUCUAAACCACUAGCUUGCUAUGACCUCGGCCCUUCCCCAGGUCGUGCAGGGGGGCGGGUUCCUGCCCAGCCGGUCCCUGGCGGAAGGAUCUCGUUGGCUCCUGCCCAGCACUGGAGGAUGAUGGAAAACAGUGAAGAAGAUCCCGCCGGUGAAGAGCGCAGGGAGGAUGGAGCCGCUUCACCCAGAGCCAGAGCCCCUGGGGUUUCUCAGACUCAGAUUAUCCCAGACGACGGUUGCCCUGAGCGAGGUCAAGCCCCAGCGGAGGUAUUUGCUGCUCCCGUGAGGGUUUCUAUUUUUCUAAUAAAAUGUUGCCAACCCCAAAGGUUUGUGGUGUC
rnacentral:lncRNA from 1 species